rnacentral:rRNA from 1 species
GGUUAAGCGAAUAAGCGUACACGGUGGAUGCCUAGGCAAUCAGAGGCGAUGAAGGACGUGCUAAUCUGCGAUAAGCGUCGGUAAGGUGAUAUGAACCGUUAUACCCGACGAUUUCCGAAUGGGGAAACCCAAUAUCCAAUGGAUAUUAUCAUUAACUGAAUACAUAGGUUAAUGAAGCGAACCGGGAGAACUGAAACAUCUCAGUACCCCGAGGAAAAGAAAUCAACCGAGAUUCCCCUAGUAGCGGCGAGCGAACGGGGAACAGCCCAGAGUCUUAAUCAAUAGCAGCAUCAGGAGAACGGUCUGGAAAGUCCGGCAGUAAAGGGUGAUAGCCCCGUAUCUGAAGAUGCUGUUAUUGUGAACUCGACGAGUAGGGCGGGACACGUGUUAUCCUGUCUGAAUAUGGGGGGACCAUCCUCCAAGGCUAAAUACUCCUGAUUGACCGAUAGUGAACCAGUACCGUGAGGGAAAGGCGAAAAGAACCCCGGCGAGGGGAGUGAAAAAGAACCUGAAACCGUGUACGUACAAGCAGUAGGAGCCCCUUUAUGGGGUGACUGCGUACCUUUUGUAUAAUGGGUCAGCGACUUAUAUUCUGUAGCAAGGUUAACCGAAUAGGGGAGCCGUAGGGAAACCGAGUCUUAACUGGGCGAAUGAGUUGCAGGGUAUAGACCCGAAACCCGGUGAUCUAUCCAUGGGCAGGUUGAAGGUUGGGUAACACUAACUGGAGGACCGAACCGACUAAUGUUGAAAAAUUAGCGGAUGACUUGUGGAUGGGGGUGAAAGGCCAAUCAAACCGGGAGAUAGCUGGUUCUCCCCGAAAGCUAUUUAGGUAGCGCCUCGUGAACUCAUCUUCGGGGGUAGAGCACUGUUUCGACUAGGGGGUCAUCCCGACUUACCAACUCGAUGCAAACUGCGAAUACCGAAGAAUGUUAUCACGGGAGACACACGGCGGGUGCUAACGUCCGUCGUGAAGAGGGAAACAACCCAGACCGCCAGCUAAGGUCCCAAAGUCAUGGUUAAGUGGGAAACGAAGUGGGAAGGCUCAGACAGCCAGGAUGUUGGCUUAGAAGCAGCCAUCAUUUAAAGAAAGCGUAAUAGCUCACUGGUCGAGUCGGCCCGCGCGGAAGAUGUAACGGGGCUAAACCAUGCACCGAAGCUGCGGCAGCGACACUAUGUGUUGUUGGGUAGGGGAGCGUUCUGUAAGCCUGCGAAGGUGUACUGUGAGGUAUGCUGGAGGUAUCAGAAGUGCGAAUGCUGACAUAAGUAACGAUAAUGCGGGUGAAAAACCCGCACGCCGGAAGACCAAGGGUUCCUGUCCAACGUUAAUCGGGGCAGGGUGAGUCGACCCCUAAGGCGAGGCUGAAAAGCGUAGUCGAUGGGAAACGGGUUAAUAUUCCCGUACUGGUGGUAACUGCGAUGGGGGAACGGAGAAGGCUAGGUUGUCCGGGCGACGGUCGUCCCGGUUCAAGCAUGUAGGCAGAGUGAUUAGGCAAAUCCGGUCACUUAAUGCUGAGGUGUGAUGACGAGCCACUAAGGUGGUGAAGCAAUUGAUGCCCUGCUUCCAGGAAAAGCCUCUAAGCUUCAGGUUACCAACAAUCGUACCCCAAACCGACACAGGUGGUCAGGUAGAGAAUACUCAGGCGCUUGAGAGAACUCGGGUGAAGGAACUAGGCAAAAUGGUGCCGUAACUUCGGGAGAAGGCACGCUGGCGGUAAGUGAAGUCCCUUGCGGACGGAGCCGAAGCCAGUCGAAGAUACCAGCUGGCUGCAACUGUUUAUUAAAAACACAGCACUGUGCAAACACGAAAGUGGACGUAUACGGUGUGACGCCUGCCCGGUGCUGGAAGGUUAAUUGAUGGGGUUAUCCUUAGGGAGAAGCUCUUGAUCGAAGCCCCAGUAAACGGCGGCCGUAACUAUAACGGUCCUAAGGUAGCGAAAUUCCUUGUCGGGUAAGUUCCGACCUGCACGAAUGGCGUAAUGAUGGCCAGGCUGUCUCCACCCGAGACUCAGUGAAAUUGAACUCGCUGUGAAGAUGCAGUGUACCCGCGGCAAGACGGAAAGACCCCGUGAACCUUUACUAUAGCUUGACACUGAACAUUGAGCCUUGAUGUGUAGGAUAGGUGGGAGACUAAGAAGUGUGGACGCCAGUCUGCAUGGAGUCAACCUUGAAAUACCACCCUUUAACGUUUGAUGUUCUAACCUAGGCCCGUAAUCCGGGUCGGGGACCGUGUCUGGUGGGUAGUUUGACUGGGGCGGUCUCCUCCUAAAGAGUAACGGAGGAGCACGAAGGUUGGCUAAGCAUGGUCGGACAUCAUGCGGUUAGUGCAAAGGCAUAAGCCAGCUUGACUGUGAGAGUGACGGCUCGAGCAGGUACGAAAGUAGGUCUUAGUGAUCCGGUGGUUCUGAAUGGAAGGGCCAUCGCUCAACGGAUAAAAGGUACUCCGGGGAUAACAGGCUGAUACCGCCCAAGAGUUCAUAUCGACGGCGGUGUUUGGCACCUCGAUGUCGGCUCAUCACAUCCUGGGGCUGAAGUAGGUCCCAAGGGUAUGGCUGUUCGCCAUUUAAAGUGGUACGCGAGCUGGGUUUAGAACGUCGUGAGACAGUUCGGUCCCUAUCUGCCGUGGGCGUUGGAAGAUUGAGAGGGGUUGCUCCUAGUACGAGAGGACCGGAGUGAACGCACCACUGGUGUUCGGGUUGUCAUGCCAAUGGCAUUGCCCGGUAGCUAAGUGCGGAAGAGAUAACCGCUGAAAGCAUCUAAGCGGGAAACUUGCCUCGAGAUGAGUCUUCCCUGUCACCUAGAGUGACCUAAAGGAACGUUUAAGACUAAGACGUUGAUAGGCUGGGUGUGUAAGCGUAGCGAUACGUUGAGCUAACCAGUACUAAUGAACCGUGAGGCUUAACCUG